GUAUCCUAUUCAUGUGUGCGAUUGCUGCCUCCUAGCACGUAGUGCUGCGCUAGAGGUCUACACGCAUUAGCAUUGAUUGCAUGCAGUGAUCGAGAGGUAUUGUUUUGAUUUCAGCCGAGCCGAGUGGAUCUUUGACUUUGUAAAACCCUCUAAAGAAACAAAGAAUAUGUAGGCAGGGCCAUGAAACCUUCAUGUAGCCUUACCUUCAAGUAACCUCCAGCUCCCCUUCUCAACUUCAUGACUUGGCAGAUGUCCUAAUGCAUGAUACACAUUGGUCGAGCAUUGAAGAACGGCCGAUACUGCUGGCGGCCGCUGCCGAGCCUGGCCAGGCUGACGUGAUGUGACCUCGUACUUAGUGUUGAAGCUGUCUGGUCGUUCCCUCAGAGUGAUCACAGAUUCUACAUCCCACCAUGGCUCUGUGGAGUGUUCACCAACCCUAGUGCCCAAGCAGAUUUGUCUUCAUGCAACUAGAAUGGCGCUCCCUUAAAGAUGUCAGCAUUGGCUACCAGUGUUCUUCAGUUUGGAUGGUGAUUUCAUAGUGAAGGAGUCAGGAAGCCCGAAAGUAGUGUAAAACUAGCACUCUGGUUACAAUAUGGUACACACGAUAGGGUUAACUUGUACUUAGUACAUUAAUUCCUGGUGUUCCAGAGAAUAGUGCUUUCAAUGCUUAGACAAUUUAAAGUAUUUGUUUUAGAAGUUGUGAAUAAGUGAAAAGUUCAGA